rnacentral:lncRNA from 1 species
GUGACGAUAAGCCAAUCCGGCUGGGUGAGUCUCACUCCGUAGUGAUCGGUCUAGAUUAAUUGGUAAAAAGUGAGGAUGUUGCCAGCCUGUACUCUUCUUAGCCACUUCAGGUCCAGUCUCUUCAUUCUUCUCUCAACUAGAGUGACAGGGUGUUUCAUAACAAGGGUGUUACAAAAGGCUUCUCUUAUUCAUUUACUCGAAACAGUUUCUAGUGCAAUAUAUGCCGGAGUUGGAGGACACGGACGUUUUUAUCCGCUUUUUGGAUCAAGAUCAAUGUUUUGCCCCUUAGCGAAAGUAUGAAAUUCUUCAAAAAGAUGCUAUUUGAGUGCAGCUGACCGACAGACGUUAUCCCAUGGUUUUCGAAAUACUUGUCACGACUUGUCAGACGAGUGUUAAAGUUGAUAGGCUCGUCAGACCCCAAAAGUGGAAGCACAUAGUCUAUAAUUGAUCUCCACGAUGAACCCAUCUCUUUCCAGUACUGUCCACAUCUAUUCACGGCUCUGAAAACUUCCAGUGGACCUGCAAAGAUCCGCUCAUUAAAAUUGUAUUCUGUAAUAAGCUGAAAUACAUAUCCAAUUCUUUCAGCCCA